UUUUGAGGAAGUGCACAUCACUACACACGUUACCUCUUCCAGGAAAUGAUAGUGAAAGUAAGAAACACCAAGAAACAAAGGCAGCACCCAAAAACAUUUCUGCAAAGUAAAAGACUUCUUUAAAAGAUGCAUCUCGAGAUGAGUGGAGUGAAGUUCGUCGGUGCUGGGAUUGGGAUAAAUGUGGCAAAUCUCUAUGCUUCGUCUGAUGUCCUAUACAGUAUUGCAGCAAUAAUAUUAGCUGUUGGAUUUCUAAUUAUUGUAGUUGGCCUAUUUAAAAAUCCACCACCUCAACCACCUCAACCAUCUAAUGGGUUCAAGAAGCAAUGAUCAGACAACACAGUCAACAUAGAUAUAGGCUGUGCAAUUAUUCAGAUUAAUUGAUUAAUCAUCAAUUAUGAACUCCACCGAUUAUGAAAACAACAAAAUCGCUUUGCUCUACAUUAAAUGUACAUAAACUUUUUAUGUGUUUUCCAGCUGAAGCAAAAUUUAAUUCAAUUCACUGUUUUCAAUUCACAUUUUUUUUAAGUAAGUUUUUACAGUUGUUAUUGGGACUUUUGUUUCUACAAUGCCAAAUGAUGUACUUAAAGGAGAAAUCCGGCGAGUUUUCACAUAGAUCUCCACUUCUCAAGGUCACCAAGUACUGUUUGUAUGGAAAAAACACGAGCUACACUCUGGCGGCAUGUCCGUGAACUCCCAUUUACAUGCCCACAGAGUGUAGUGCUGUAGCUGCCUGGCUACAUUAGCUGCUGGCUGUAGCAACUCGAGCUAGGUAAAACCGAUUGUUUUUCGGGGUUUUUUUUCAUACUGACAGUAUUCGGUGACCUCGAGAAACAGAGAUCUAUGUGAAAACUCGCUGGAUUUCUCCAGCGAGUUUUCCCAUAUUUACAUUAAAAAGGUACUUCGGGGAACCCGCCCAGGAAGCCCUUAUUUGGACCUUCCUGUCACUGAUUGCUUCCCCCCUCAGACAGACACGUGUGGAGCGCCAUUUGUUUUAAUCUGUAUUCUAAUUUCACUAUAUCUGACCAUGAGUGCUCUGGCUCUGCACUUUUUUUGCUUGGCUUACUUUGUAACUUUUGUAUGCUGAAUACUGCUGUAACAUUCGUUGAGUUGUUCCUGUGGUAGCCAAAAUAAAGAACUAUUAUUUCACCA